UACGUAGGGUGCAAGCGUUAAUCGGAAUUACUGGGCGUAAAGCGUGCGCAGGCGGCUUUGCAAGACAGAUGUGAAAUCCCCGGGCUCAACCUGGGAACUGCAUUUGUGACUGCAUGGCUAGAGUACGGUAGAGGGGGAUGGAAUUCCGCGUGUAGCAGUGAAAUGCGUAGAGUAUGCGGAGGAACACCGAUGGCGAAGGCAAUCCCCUGGACCUGGUACUGACGCUCAUGCACGAAAGCGUGGGGAGCAAACAGG
rnacentral:rRNA from 1 species